rnacentral:rRNA from 1 species
UACAGAGGUCUCAAGCGUUGUUCGGAUUCAUUGGGCGUAAAAGGUGCGUAGGCGGCGCGGUAAGUCGGGUGUGAAAUCUCGGAGCUUAACUCCGAAACUGCAUUCGAUACUGCGGUGCUUGAGGACUGGAGAGGAGACUGGAAUUCAUGGUGUAGCAGUGAAAUGCGUAGAGAUCAUGAGGAAGACCAGUGGCGAAGGCGGGUCUCUGGACAGUUCCUGACACUGAGACACGAAGGCCAGGGGAGCAAACGGG